AUGUUACAAGAGGGAGCAACAAAGACAAUAACUGGAAAACAAGAAAAUGACAUUGGCAUUAUUGAACCAGCUCCACAAAAUCAAGCAAGCAAUGACAAUUUUAUUUUUUUAUACCAAAAUAAUAGAAGUGGUAAGUCAGUGAAUAUCUCUGAAAAUAUUUUUAUGCUUAAACGCUAUUAUUUAGAAAAUAACUUUAUAGACCCAAAUAUAAUGUCUACUUAAAAAAAAUACUUUUUGCUAUCUUUUUCCAUACUAUCAAUUCUUUUUCCUGAACCUGCUUCAAUCCUGAAAUUCUAUUUUUGCUAUUACUGUUAUUUUAUUGAAAUAUUCAUAAAUGGAUAUAGUAUAUAUUUUUACAAUUUACAGUAAAAAAUGUUCUCAUAUAUGUGUCUGUGAAUAACAUUUUGUAGAUAAGAUGCCCACAUCAGAAUCAGGACAAAAAGAAGAUACGAAAUGACCUUCAAAUACUGAGGUACAGUGUAUUGUUGUUGUUGUUGUUGUUGCUGUUGUUAUUUUAAAACAUAAGUAAUGAGUCAUGUUAAAACAUAAAAAGAUGAUUUGACUUUAUUCUGUCACCUCUGCAUGUGUCAUAAGAAAUUAUUUUCAGACAUUUAUCAGAACAUACUUUAUAAUCAUGUGCCAACUAGAUAACUAUUGCAUAGUGCAAUUCUGCUAAUUUGUAGGAUUAAUUUAAGAAGGCAGUGUAGAAUAGUGCGAAAGAAAAUAAGGCUUAGAAGUCACUAGGAAUCUAUUUGAGUUCUGAAGUUAAGUUUGUCUAAAAACUAAAGAAUUUCUCUGCAUUCACCUAUGGGCAAAUAUAUGAUUCUGUGUAUCUCCAGAUUUACGAAAGCUCUAAUUGGAUUCAGAGAGAAAGAGUUUAAAUUGUAGUCUCAGUCUUGUACAACUUGGAACUUGAAAAGAUAAUGCUUGGGACUUGAAAGUAUUGGUAUAUUUUGAUUAUCCAGUAUACAGCUGAAGGAACAUUUCAGGAGCUGGAUAAACAUGAGAAAUAGGACACCUGUAAAACUAUAAUAAUAACAAUUCGGUUGAGUAGUGUUUUCAUAAGUAGACAUUCUUUUCACAAAGAGAACCCUUUGAGUCCUUUGUGGCAGCCAGGUUUGCAGCCACAUAAAUGUCAAAUAAUAAUGAUGGAUUCCAAGGUCACAACGGUGGAUGUGGAAGAGAUAGGUAAGGCCUCACCACUUAGAUAGAAGCAGCAGCUGCAUAGUAGUAACAGCAAUGAGUGGAUGUCAAAAGAUAAGUCUGUAUUUUGGUUCUGCCACUUACUAGCUAUGGGAACUUGGAACAAAUCAUUUAACCUAAUCAAAUACCAGUAACCUUGUUUAUAAAAAUAGUGCUCGUAUCUACCUCUUAGGUCUGCAUGAUGAAAAAAUGUUGUAACAAAUGUGAAAACACUUGUAAACUGAAAAGUCUGUAUACAAAUGUAAGACAAAAUGAUCAAAGUGGCAUUGAAGUGAAGACAGUAUUGGUAGGACAAGAAUGGGGAGUAAGAACAGGCAUGUGGAUUUCUAAUUGGGGGUAAGGGGAUGAUAACUUUCAGCAGGCUACUACUGAAAAUUUUCCAUAGAAAUAUAGCAGUCUGGAAAGGUAGACUUUUCUGAUGAGAUUUUAAAUGUUUUGACCUGGAGUAAUUUUUAAGAUUGCAAUUCUAACAGAUUGGCUAUAAAACAGAUUUGUAUGUGUUUUAAAAAUUUAUAGUAAGAGGCCGAGCACGGCGGCUCAUACCUGUAAUCCCAGCACUUUGGGAGGCCGAGGCGGGUGGAUCACGAGGUCAGGAGAUCGAGACCAUAACACGGUGAAACCCCGUCUCUAUUAAAAAUACAAAAAAUUAGCGGGGCGUGGUGGUGGGCGCCUGUAGUCCCAGUUGCUAGGAGUGAGGAGGUCUCAGCCUCAGCGGUGAGGAGGUCUAAAGCCUCAGUGGUGAGGAGGUCUAAGCCUCGGCGGUUUUGGAGAGUCACUGCUGCUAAAGAAUCUAUUUGGGAUUGUAAAGUAAGGAUAGAUUUCGUUAUUUCUUGCAAACUGUCUGAGAAAUCCUUUGAGAGUGUGUGGUAGUAGGAUAAUGAAGUAGAUAAACCAGGUAUUCCAGUUCCCGUAGCAGUAGCCAUUCC
ensembl:lncRNA